AAUGGUCCACCGGUUAUCCAUCCUACGCAUUACAUGGCCUGCCCAGCUCCAUUUCUUCCGCUUAAUGUCAACUAGAAUAUCGGCUAUCCCCGUUUGUUCUCUGAUCCACACCGCUCUCUUCCUGUCUCUUAACGUUAGUCCUAAGAUUUUUCGUUCCAUCGCUCUUUGUGCGGUACUUAACUUGUUCUCGAGCUUCUUUGUUAACCUCCAAGUUUCUGCCCCAUAUGUUAGCACCGGUAGAAUGCAAUGAUUGUACACUUUUCUUUUCAACGACAGUGGUAAGCUCCCAGUCAGGAUUUGGCAAUGCCUGCCGUAUGCACUCCAACCCAAUUUUAUUCUUCUGUAAAUUUCUUUCUCGUGAUCAGGGUCCCCUGUGAGUAACUGACCUAGAUAAACGUACUCCUUUACAGGCUCUAGAGGCUGACUGGCGAUCCUGAAUUCUUGUUCCCUUGCCAGGCUAUUGAACACUAUCUUUGUCUUCUGCACAUUAAUCUUCAACCCCACUCUUACACUUUCUCGGUUAAGGUCCUCAAUCAUUUGCUGUAAUUCGUCUCCAUUGUUACUGAAUAGGACAAUGUCAUCUGCAAACCGAAGGUUGCUGAGAUAUUCGCCGUUGAUCCUCACUCCUAAGCCUUCCCAGUCUAAGAGCUUGAAUACUUCUUCUAAGCAUGCAGUGAAUAACAUUGGAGAGAUUGUGUCUCCUUGCCUGACCCCUUUCUUGAUAGGUAGUUUUCUACUUUU